UGUGGUCAUCCAGAUCACUUUUUGUUAGUUCAGUGCCCGGUAGGUGGACCCCAAACCCCAUGUCUCAAGGCGUGUUAUGGCACAUAAAGACAUAAUCACAGAUAGAAGACCCAGUGUUGACAAGACAACACACGGACGCCAUACUAGUGAAGUUCCUGCACUACAACGGCCCAGUACGUAACCCGCCUGCUGAUCCGCCGUGCUGGGGCCCGCCGCAGCAGAGCUGGUUCCACUCUGUUGCUGUUGCUGGCUGAGUGACGCUGCACGCUGUUUGAUAGCCUUGCAAGCACCUUGCUUGAUGUGGUGCGCGUUGGUAAAGGAUGGGUUCGCGGCGCUGAGCGGCUCAUCGCAGAACAAGCAGACUAGCUUUGGUAGACCACCCCACCACUCCACAUCGAAGUUGUCCCAAAGACUACCCGUCUUGGCGUUCUUUUUCUGGUUACGUAGCUUGUUAAAAAGCUCGUUCCGAGAACGGAGAACUUCAGGGGGGACGUCUGGACCAGGAUGCAAG
rnacentral:lncRNA from 1 species